ACACGGUACAGGUACAACCAACAGGGGCACGUUCAAGUUAAAAACGGUGCGCAAAGUUUUGCUACAGUUUCCGAGUUGAACGACAUGUUUUCUGGAAACGGUGUGUAACGAUGUGCAACAGGGUUUGAGAUACGUUUUCUCUUGUUUGCUGGGUGUGUCAGAACUGCAGUUCAAUCAGCAGAAAUGUAAAUAAACCACCGGGUAAAGAGACAGCACAAUGGGUUCAAGUUGGAAUGUUGUCUUUCAUUCUGGAUGAUAAGGGCAGUGACUGUAACAUCGAGCAUAUUUUACAGUAUUAAACAGGCGGCAUUGAGAGAGCAGGUUAUGACCCUGUUCCAGGUGGGAGGCAGUGGCCAAUUUUAGAGGACCAAAGCAAACCAAAGGAUAAAUUCAGGCUACGGAUUUGGCUAAUUUCUCCCCGCCUUAUUGGAGACAGAAAUCAAAACAAAUUUGGGUUAUAAUGUGAGCCUCUGGUUCCUUUUCUUCUGGUCCAGCUAAGCAAAGAUGUCAGAAACGUAUGCAAGAAAGACAUCCAGUUGGUGACACUGCAGACUUGUGAGGCUGCUGAUGUGAGGACCACAGCCAGCACCUGAAUGGACAGUUUGAUCUGGAACGCAUACUCGACCUCUUCAGGACUGGAGACUGACACUUCGGUUUGAAGUUUUCCAUUCAAAGGAAAUGGGGCCUCUGUUGAACUAGUUGUGAACAAAAGUCUUCCUGCCAUAAAAGUGAAAAUGCUGUGCCAUAGGUGGUGGAUUACUAUGAAAAUGAAGUGCAACUCAAAAGCUUUUUUGUGAUGAUACAAUUCAGCAAAACUACCUGGAAAAAAAGAAAGAAAGUUGCUCCUAAAGCUAUUGUCUACAGUGGUUUGAUGGCUGAAAUUGGGGACAAAGGCCCAGAGGAUGUUUUAUUGAUUUCAUAUGCAGGCCGCAUGUGUUUUACAUUUUACAAAAAGGCUUUUAAAAUGUGUACUCUCUGUGUAAUUUUAGCACUAAAGUAUAUUAGGACAAGAAGUUAA